UUUAGGGAUACAGAACAAGCAAUGCCAUUAAUAAAACAACUGGCUUAUGAGCAAGCAAAUUGUUGGUGCAGAGAGGUCAUUAGACCAUGGAAACAUGAAGAUUUAAACACAUAUAUUAAAUUAUGUAGAGACAUUAAUGAACAAGGGCAAGUCUUGGCAGCUGCAGUACAACAGGUUUUAGAUGCCAGGCCAAAAACAUGCUAUAAUUGUGAACAAACAGGACAUUUUAAAAGGAAUUGCCCCCAUAGAAGGAGGGUUUAACAAUACUAGGUAUCAAAGGGGUAGAAUACUGGGUAUUUGCCCACAAUGCCGUAGAGGGAGAACAGCAGCCAAUUUGGAUUCCAGAGAGAUUGACUAAGGUCCUGACCCAGUGAUUGUCUGGAGUCGGGGGUCUGUUUGUGUGUUUCCACAGGGAGAACAGCAGCCGAUUUGGAUUCCAGAGAGAUUAACUAAAGCGAUUUCUACAGAACAAAAA
rnacentral:lncRNA from 1 species